CUGAUUGUUAAAUAACUUAGCAGUGUAAAGCGAGGUGACUCACUUUUGUGCGACAUUUUCUUCCUGUUUGUGAAAGAAAUAUCAAUACCUUAGUCGUGUGUGUGGACUUUAAUAAUUAAAAACUUCGAACAUUCGGACACAUCUCCAGGACAGAAUGAUAAUUUGGAUAUUUUGUUUGCUCUGCUUUGCACGAUCAUGUAUGGGAGUUUUUAUGGACGGGUUGGACUGCAGUCUAGACUGUGUGUGCUGUAAGGGAGGAGUAGAUCGAUGUGGGUAUGAGUUUAGAUUUGGAGACAAAUUUUGUUUUGAUGGCUGUUUUGACGGCAUAUAUGGGUUUAGAUGUCACAAUCCCUGUCCCGGUAACUGUUCUUCAUGUGCACAA